UGCUAUUCGGAGGAGGGUGAAUCUGAAUAAGAAUCCGAUCAUCCAGAUUAGUAGGGGCCUUGGGCACAUGAUUAGGCCCCCUACCCAAGCCGCGCUUUUUCUGCGCUGCUUCAGAAGCCAUCUGUAUAUUACAAAUUUCAAGAUGUUAUUAUGAGUUAUAUUUGAUUACAUGUAUAUAUGAAUAUAUAAAAUGACAAUAAACAUGACACUGAUAUAAACAUGUAUAUAUAUAUAUAUAUAUGAAUAUAAAAUGACAAUAAACAAAAGUUGCAUUUAAAUAGUUUAGUACAUAAACAAUGAUAUAAAAAACAUGUAAUGCUAAACAUACAUUUCAUUUGUUCAAGUGUCAAUGUCUGAUUCAGAAUCAUCUUGUAUACAUGUUGCAGAUUCAUAACCAUCAUCUGCUUCAGAUUCAGUGUCAGAUUCAGUCAAUAACUCUUCCUCCUCAGUAUCAAUGUCAUCUGACACAAGUAUUGACUCGGGAUCUAAUUCAUGUGGUUCAUCUCCACCAUCUAAUUGGAUUAAUUCAUUGUCGUCCUCCACAUUUAUUAUAGUUUGACUGUGAAGCAUCUGCUCUUGGUAAAUCUGCCCAUCAACUACUUCUGCAAGUCUACGCGCGGGAGUAUGAAUUACAACUUGCCAAUCUGUAGGCGGUCUAUCCCUUUUCCUAACAAGACUAGGAGUGUAGUAUACUUGUACUGUUUGAGUUGGUAAAAUAAACGGUUCGUUGGAGUACGCAGAUCUAUGGAGGUCAAUAUCGACGAUUCCAUGUCUGUCAUGAUGUAUCCCUUUUUCUGAAUCAAACCAACGGCACUUGAACAAGUGAAUAUGACCCUCGUACGUGCCCUUGUACGACAACUCUACGAUUUCCUCCAACUCCCCAUAAAAGGCACGACCAAGAUCAUUGUAACAAUCUCCUUGGACACACACUCCAGAGUUCGUUGUUCUUUUACCGCACCCAUAUGCCUUUGUAUGAAAUUUACAACCAUUUAUUUUGUAACCAUUGCGGCUGACUUGGUCCCUGUUUGGUCCCAUAGCUAGGACUUGUACAUUAGCCAGAUCGUUAAUCCCUCAGUCAAAGUCUACAAAAACUCCAUCUUAUUAAAUGAAGUCAUAGUUAAUAUGGAGUAUAUAUAUAUAUAUAUAUAUAUAUAUAUAUAUAUAUAUAUAUAUAUAUAUAUAUAUAUAUAUAUAUAUAUAUAUAUAUAUAUAUNNNNNNNNNNNNNNNNNNNNNNNNNNNNNNNNNNNNNNNNNNNNNNNNNNNNNNNNNNNNNNNNNNNNNNNNNNNNNNNNNNNNNNNNNNNNNNNNNNNNCGUUAUGCCGGGAUGAUUCGCUUUUAACUCGUCAUCAUAUAAUCUAUAACAUGUUAUAAACAUUAACAUAUUGGAAUAAAUUUUCAACUUAAAAGAUAAAUUAUCAAGUUUACAUGUGUACCUCACAAAUUCGUCAAUCUCCUCACAAUUGAGAAGAAUGUAAGUAUUUGCAGCAUAUAAUUCUUGCUUAGAGAGGAAUAUGCGCUUCUCUUUUCCAUAAGCGCGGCCCGAUAGACCAAAUACAGAGAGUCGACCAUUUAGUUCAACAUUUCCCCCAUCAUCAUGUCUCGAUACUCGAUUGGCCUUUGUCAAGACUUCGUCCGGAAAAUAGUCUGAGACAAACGUAGAUAUCUCAUCGAAACUGUAUGCCUCACAUAUCGACCCCUCGACAUAAGCUCUAUUUUUCACCUUCCUCUUAAGGUUUCCCAUCACCCUCUCGAAAGGGUACAUCCAUCUAUAUUGAACUAGACCCCCAACACAAGCUUCAUAGGGAUGAUGGAUUUGCAAAUGCUCCAUGUAGUCAAAAAAACCAGGUGAGAAUAUUUUUUCCAGUUUACACGUGAUCUCUAUGAUGUUCUUCUCAAGUACAGACAUGUCCUUCUCAUUUAAUGAUUUUGAACAUAAGUCUUUGAAGAAACGACUAAGAUCCGUCAAAGCAUCCCAUAUUGGUUUAUCAAGCAGAUCCCGAAAUGUUAUAGGCAUAAGUCUCUCCAUGAAUACAUGACAGUCAUGACUCUUCAUCCCUUGCAAUUUCCCACCCGUAACACACCUUGCAAUGUUUGACGCAUAUCCAUCUGGUAGUUUCAAAGACUUAAUCCAUGUGCACACAUCUUCAACUUGCUUUUUGGACAAUGUGUACCUUGCAUGCGAUUUGACAAUCUUACCAUUAGGAGAUUCAUAAAGUUCUAAUCCUGGACUCUUACAAAUAUCUUUCAUGUCCAAAUGUGCCUUAUCAUUAUCUUUUGUCUUCCCUGUAACAUUCAUCACGGUGUUAAACACAUUAUCAAACACAUUCUUCUCAAUAUGCAUCACAUCUAGAUUAUGACGAAUCAAAUUUGUAGACCAAUAAGGCAGUUCCCAAAAGAUGCUUCUCCGAACCUAGUUAUGAGAUUCGCCAAACCCAUUUAUUAUGUUUGUGGCAUCAAUCUUACCAAAUGGGAUAACCAGCAAUCUCAUCACACGAUCUCGCAUCUCCAUUCCUGACAAUCGCGGUGCAGGCAUAUCAUUGUCUACUUUCCCUUUCCUGAAGUGUUCUAUAUUUCUUCGAAACGGGUGAUCUACCGGCAAGAACCGACGAUGACAGUCAAACUAACAAGGCUUUUGACCUUUUGAUAGAUUAAAAGACUUUGUAUGCUCCAUACAAUACGGACAAGCCAACUUCCCGUGUGUACUCCAUCUUGCUAACAUACCAUAAGCUGGGAAGUCACUUAUAGUCCACAUAACCGCUGCCCUAAGUUUGAAAUUUGUUUUCAUUGCAACAUCCCAAGUCUGUACUCCAUCCUCCCACAAUACCUUCAUCUCGUCUAUAAGAGGUCUCAAGUAAACAUCUAAGUUAUUUCCAGGACUCUCAGGACCAGGAACCACGAGUGAAAGAAACAAGUAUGGCUGUUUCAUACACAUCUAAGGAGGCAAGUUGUACGGAGUAACAAUCACAGGCCAACAUGAGUACGAAACAGCUGAGUGGCCAAACGGAUUGAAACCAUCGGUGGACAAUCCAAGCCUCACAUUUCUAGGUUCCAAUGCAAACCCAGGAUGUGCUAAGUUGAAAUCUUUCCAAGCAUGCCCAUCUGCGGGAUGAUUUAGUUCUCCAUCUUUAGUUGGAGAUUUUGCAUGCCAACUCAUAUGUUCAGCUUUUCUUGAAGACAUGUACAAUCUUUNNNNNNNNNNNNNNNNNNNNNNNNNNNNNNNNNNNNNNNNNNNNNNNNNNNNNNNNNNNNNNNNNNNNNNNNNNNNNNNNNNNNNNNNNNNNNNNNNNNNCCUUAUCAUCUGUUCAUUUUCCUUAUAAAACAACAUGCAAUUGUUGGGACAUUCAUCGAUCUUUUGGUAUCCAAGACCCAACUUCUUCACCAUUUUCUUACAAAAGUAAUAGUUACCAGGUAAUUUCUCACCGUCAGGCAACAUACUCUUAAUGUCCUUCAAGAGCGACUCAAAACACUCAUGGCUCAUAUUGUGAUCAGCCUUGAUGUUAAGUAAUGUCGCCACUGCAGACAAUGUAGUGUGUUUGGUGAAACCAUGCCACAAUGGCUCUCUAGCCUCGUCUAACAACAUAAAGAAGUCUUUGGCAUCAGAAUUCAUAGGUUGCUCUCUGCCUUGUUCCCAAUCAAAAUUUGGCCCUGCAAUAUCAUGAACCAUUUCAUUCAUACGAUGAGUACUACUGCCCGAAUUGUGUACUUCUGUGAUGCCACCAUCUCUUCUCUGCAUAUGUGCCCACCAGCAUUCUUCAGAAUUUUUCAUGAACCCAGAAACAAGUAAAUGAAAGUUUACCACAUCUCUGUCCAUAUAAUUUACAUUCUUACACUUCAAACAUGGACAUCGUAUUUGUGACUGACCAUUCAUACAUUCCGGGUGACUAUACGCAUACUCCAAAAACACUUGGCAACCAGCUCUAAAUUCAGCUGUAGCACUUAUCUAGGCACUUGACUUUCGUCGUGCCAUCCAACUACGGUCAGAAUAGAGGUCCAUGAUUCCACGGUACCUACUUGUAAGCAUGCACAUGAUUAACAUUAAAGCAUACUUGUAAGCAUAUGACUUGAGGGCAUACUUGUAAUCAUAUAACUUGAGUAUACUUGUAAGCAUAUGAUUAAUAUUUAAGCAUACUUGAUGUUAACGAAUGAAUGCAAAUUAAAGCAGUAUGAGAAACUUUAAAUGUUAUUAAAUUUAGUAUGAGAAACUAAGUAAAUGCUACUUAGUUUAAUAGUUAUAUUAUAUCAUGUUAUUUUAUUUUAAUUUAUUUUAAAUUUGUUUUUAUUGUUUAUCGUAAGUGAAUACGUAAGGUAUUUUAUUCAUGCUAACUUUAUAUCAGAGUUUGCUAACUCAUUUAUAUAACUUUUGAGUAUCUUGGAGAUUCAUUCAUAUUAACUAGUGUGCUAAGGCGCCUAACAUGUUUUAAGAUUAUACCCCUCACGGUCCCUUUCUAUAAUCUUUUAUAUUUUGGGAUAGUCACAACUUGGUUGAGCAAUUUAUAGCUUCUUUAACAUUUCGUAGCUUUAUUCUUGUAUACGUAAGUGUUAAAUACUCUUGUUUUUCUAUUAUAGCCAAAACAGUCUCUUUAUUGACCAAGUGUGUCUAGUUACCUUCUCUGUUGCACUAACAGUUCCCUAGCACUGCCUAUUUUGGCUUAACAGCCCCCCAAUAGCUUACCAUGCUAACAACCAAGCUUGGCUUGGCCCCGUGAGGCUUGGCUAAGCUUAGCGUGGCCUCGUGUGGCCUCGCAGCCCCAAGCCCAGCCCAUCAACUCCAACAGCCCCUUAAUAGGCUCUAGUGGAUCACAAAUAGGCUCGUUAAUAAUAUAAAUGUUCGCAACUACCCGACCAAUAAAAAAAUUUCGCUAGAGUCUCCCCUAUAAUAUGGACUAGCCACAUGCACGACGGCAUGUAUAUAAGGUUAUUUCUAGGCACCCAAGACACAAACCAAGAGUCCAUAUAGACGAUCUUACAUAAGUAUAAGUAAUGUGAAGAAAAGCCUAACUAUUACCCAUAGACGAUCUUGCAUAAGUAUAGUUCUCAUAUAGGCAUAGGUACAAGUUUAGCAGUCUUAUUUUACAAUCACAGGUACAAGUUUAUCAUAUUGCUCGGGAAAAUACCCAAACAAUGUAAUCCAGGAUGAAUAAUAACACAUAAACAAGUCUCUGUAGAAACUUGGCAAUUCCUAUGAAAAAACAGGUUAUCAAACUAGUGGCGGACUAAGGAAAUGAUACCCAAACAAUGGUUGAAAAUAGAUGAUAUCUCCACUUUAAAAGAUCCGGAAUCCACUAAAAAUGAUUUUAGACUGGUGAACUAAAACCUUUAAAUAUAUUAAUUUAUAUACACACUAAUAUAUUAAUUUGUAUAUGGAACACUAAUUUGAACAUGGACCAGUUUGCCAGAUUAUUGAGUAUACUUUUCAAAGUUCAGUUGUUAGUAUUCUGCAUUACAUACCUUUUAUAACUUUCUAGUUAUGGCAUCUCAUUUGUAUACCACCAAAUAGUUCAGAUUUUCAUUACAACCUCGAGCUUUAACUUUUGAUAACUUAAUAAAAUAAUACACACAAUAUACAUGGUUUCCACUAUAUGUCUACAUACAUCGAACCUAUUAAACUCUAACAAAAGUUAACGGAAGUGGAGUUUUGUGCAUUACAAACACUUUAAAUUCUAGUUAAUGUUUUUAAUAGCAAAAUUUGGUAGAUAUUAAAUACCCAUCCUAUGGAAUAUCAAAAUUGUUCAAUGAGCUGGACAAACAUGAAAAUACUCCAAGGACCCUAAAAGCAAUCAAAAAUCAGGAAAUCCAAAAUAAUUUCGGCGAACAUUUUAUCCGGGUAGGGUUGAAUUAUUGUAAGUGAUUCAUUAAAAAGUUUGGAUCUUCAGGAAUAGUGCAAACUAACUAAUUGCAACAAUUUUAAGUUGAUUAGAAAAUAAUACAUUGACAAACUUGAAAAGUCUAAAAUAAAUAACUCACCAGUCGUGCGUGGCGGCAGUGGCGGCGGCGAUGGCAGUGGGGAGUAGUGGCGAGCGAGACUCCUAUUCCCCAUUUCUCCCUCUUCUCCCCCUUUCUCCCUCUUCUCUCUGAGCUCCCUCUUUUUUUUUCCUCCCGUCUGCUGUGUCGUGCGAAUACCUGGAACUGAUUACAUUUAGUUUGAUCAGCGACCGACAUCUGCGACCGCAUGCGGUCGUUAUGUUUUAAUGACUUGGACUUAUCAACGACCGCAUGCGGUCGCUGAUUUUAAGUGGUCGCAUAAAACCUUGGCGCCAACAUUUCCUGCCAAAAUUUGGGAGGAAAAAUUAUGAUAGCGACCGAUCAACGACCCAAUGCGGUCGCUGAUAUAUAAUAACAACUGGAUUAAAUCACGGUCGCAGAUAUCGGUCGCUGAUAGUAGUGAUCGCUGAUAGACCUUUUUCUUAUAGUGAGCACCCCAAGGAGAUGUACUAGGACGAAUGAAACCGAUGUCUAACAACUCCUGUAGUUGGACUUUUAACUCCUGAAGUUCAAUAGGAGCCAUUCGAUAUAGGGUUUUAGAAAUGGGCUUUGUACCCGGUUCAAGGUCAAUAAAGAAUUCAACUUCACGUUCUGGGGGUAGACCAGGAAGUUCUUCAGGAAAUACGUCAGGAAAUUCACUAACAACGGAAAUAUUAUUUAAAUAUGACGUUUUUUUGUUCAAGUCCAUAACAUGGGCUAAGAAAGGUUGACAUCCAUUUUUUAAUAAACGAGUGGCUUUAUGGCUUAAUAUGACAAUGAUUGACUUUAGUGGUUUGGUUGCUUGAAUUCGCAUAAUAGGUUGGUUAUGAAUAUGAAAACUAACAACCAUACGAAAAUAAUCAAUUUUGGCAUGAUGAGUAGUUAACCAAUCAAUCCCUAAAAUCACAUCAAAUUCAAGUAUCUUUAAAGAAAUAAGAUCAACAGGUAAUGUGAUGGUGCCAACUUGGAUCAAGCAAGAUUUAUAAACAGUGGAUGUAAUGAAAGUUUCUCCCAAUGGAGUCUCCACAGAUAAGUCAAAGUCUAAUUUCUCUAAAGUCAAGUUUAAACGUUGAGCACAAGCAGGAGAGAUAAAAGAAUAGGUAGAACCAGUAUCUAGUAAGGUAUAAACUUCGCAAGAGUUCAAGACUAGCUUACCGUGAUCACCUCGUUCGGGUUUCUCGCAUUUUGUCCAGUCACGACAAAUGCCCUCCCUUGAACCACCGACUUUGUUUUGUCCAUAGUCGCCUUUGGUGUCGCCGCCCCAGCUGGACUUGACUUCACUACCGGAUAAAACCGGGCUAUAUGACCAUCUUUUCCGCAACUAAAACACACCUUGGAAGGCUGUGAACAGUUUGGACUUAUGUGUCCCUCCUCUCCGCAUCUGUAGCAUCUAACUAGCGGUCGUUCUCCUGUCCUAGAAUUUGUUGUUAGUGUUGGUGCUGGUGCUGCUGCUGAUGUCUUCCCGUCAUUGUUGAAUCUUCUCUUUGUGAAAUUUCCACUUGACUCACCUCUCCUAUUAUUAUGGCCACGAUUACCACCAGAGUGGUAACUACUUUUGUCCAUAUUUCUUCCUCCCCGCUAGUUAUCAUUGCUCCGAUGAUUGUUGUCACCGGUAUGACCCUGGUUGUGGUCCCUCGGUUGAACAUACUCAUUAUCUCGCUCUAAUAAUUGAAUCAUGUUGAUAACAUCUGAAUAUAGAGAAAAUUUGUGAGACAUAAGGUAUUGAUGAAUUUUGGGUUUUAGACCUCUCAAAAACAUUUGCGUCAUACGUUCCUCAUUCUCUACCAAAUGAGGUGCAAACCUGGAUAACUCCGUGAACUUUGCCUCGUACUGGGACACCGUCAUGUUGUUCUGUUCUAGUCUAAUAAAUUUUACCUCCUUCAUAUGACGAAUACUUUCAGGAAAGUACGUGUCAUUGAACAGUUUCUGAAAUCUUUCCCAAGACAUGUUGAGUGCGACUGGCUGGAUACGCUUCACAGAUUCCCAAAUCUGCCUCAUUUUUUUCCUCCUUCUACGCACGCCAGCCAAGACCAGCCCUCCACCUUUGAAAAAAAAAAUCCAGCACAUGUUUUCAAAAAAAAACAAAAGUGGGUCCCACCCAUAAUUUUAAUAAAAAUAUUUAAUUUCCGAAACUUCAAUAAUUCUUAAUAAAUAGCCCUUUUAUCAGAAAAAUACGACUUUUAUAUCCAUUUCAUAGGAAAUUAAACUCUCUACAACUUUGUAGCUUUAUGUUUUUCCAAAUUCCAAACGAAAAAUGCCCGAAAUCCACAUACGGACAAUUUUUAAUACCUCCAUUCCGACAAAAUACUGAUAAAAUACCUUAGCAUUAAUUUCUUCAUUUAUAUCCACAUAAAAUAAAUAUAUCUUUCAUUUAUAUCCACAUAAAAUAAAUAUAUCUCUAUCAUAUAAAUCAAUAAUUAAUUAUUCACAAAUAAUAUUACAAAUCACAAUUAUGACAACCAAGUUGUUCCUAGGAAAGAGGGGGCUUUCCGAUAAGGAUUUCUCCUUACUUGCGCUCAAUUAGGUGAUCAAACCCCUUUCCUAGACAGAACUUCCUUAGACAUUGCCAAUAAUGCUAUCUAAUAAUAUUAUUCAAAUAAUAUGACUUAUUGAUCUGAUAAUGGAAAAUACUGUGCAGUGACAAUUAUUGAAACAACAAUAAUAUAAAAUAUCAACGCAGCAAUUAUUGAAUUAAUAAAAUAAAAUAUUGAACAAUAAUUACUAUAAAAAUUAUUUAGUAGUGCCUUCUUACGUAAGAAUCAAUAAUUCAAAAAUAAUGUGCAAUACUGUGUGCUACUGUGCAACCACGUGUAUUACUGUAUUUUAACCACUAGGUAAUCCAACAAUGUUAAUGGUAACAAUUACGCCGUUAAUUUAUAAAAACUUAAACUUGUCAUUUUCUUCAUCCGACGAUUUUUCGUUAUGGGGCCCAUAAAUGUCUGCGCCGUCGUACGAAUAUUCCCCGACGGCAAGAAUAUUCCAUGACCAAACGAAUAUUCUCCGACAAAAUGAAUAUUUUAUAACCACUUGCUUAAUUUGUAAAAUUUGGAUAUUUCACCCAUAACCAAAGCAUUAUAUGAAAUUAACUCCUUAUUAUUUCAAGAUAAUGAAUAGAGAAAAUUCAAUUUUAUUUAUAAUAAGUUGGGGUCUUACAUUUUAUAUGUGGGUUGGUAGGUCAUCAGGCGAAAGGUUGUCCAGAAUCAAGGGAGGGUGUAGUAAACAAGUAGAAUGGAUAAUUUUAUGAACAUGUAUGAUAUGUAUGUGAUAUGUAUAUGUGUAACUCAACUUUUGUAUAAGUUUUAGUAGAGAUUCCCGAAUUUUGUAGUCACAAAGGGAUAGUAGAUGUUUAUAAAAAUAUGUGCUAUAUAAUGUAAAGUACUAUGAACUAGUUGAAUGAAUAUGAAUAUAUGUUUGAUUAAUUAAACAAGUUUUGAGAAUUAAGAUAGUAAAUGUCUAUCUUAUAAACUGAAUUUUUAAUAUCCAACAUUUUGAUUAUAUGAUUGUUUAAGUUUGAAAUUACGUAUUUCGAUGUUAACACUUAUACGAUGAGGCAUAAAAUGUAAAAACAUAAAGAAUAAAUUAAGGUUUUGUUUAACCAGAUAAUGCCACCAAGAAGAUGAAACUGAAACCCAAGAGUAGAAGAACAUGUUAAUGACGGAGAAGGUCAAGCAGACCCAAUGCAGAAUCUUGCUAAUAUGUUCGCACAAGCCAUGCAUACUAGAGCACCAGCAGUAAGAAAUCAGAUAAAAAAAUCGAUUAAAGAACUUCAAAGAUUUCAAGGCAGUAGGACUGCCAAAAUUUAAAUGGACAACUGACCCUAUAGAAGCCCAAACUUGGGUAAAGGAGAUGGAGAAAGCAUUUGUUAUUUCUAGGGUAAUAGAGGAGCAAAAGAUAACUUUUGCUACCUAUAUGAUGAAGGGGGGGCGAAUUUCUGGUGGGAGGCAAAUCAAACUAGAGCUGAAGAAGGAGAGGUGACAUGGAACAGGUUCAAGGAACUUUUAUUUGAGAAGUAUUUCUCGUCCAGUAUGCAGGCCAUGAUGGAGGUUAGGUUUUUAGAAUUGAAGCAUGAGAAUAUGUUUGUGUUAGAAUACGCAGCUAAGUUUAAUGAGUUAGCAAGAUUCGCUCCGAACCAAAUGGAUACGGAGGCAAGGAAGGCAAGAAGGUUUGAGCAGGGCCUAAAACCCUAUAUAAGACCCCAAACUUAUUAUAAAUGAAAUUGAAUUUCCUCUAUUUAUUAUUUUGAAAUAGUAAGGGUUGAUUUGAUUAAUGUGGUUAAUUAUGGGUAAAAUGCGUAAAUAUUUCAAAUAAGCAAGUGGUUAUAAAAUAUUCAUUGUUGUCGGGAAAUAUUCGUCUGGUCGUGGAAUAUUCUUGUUGUCGGGGAAUAUUCGUUCGACGGCGCAGCCUUGUGUGGGCCCCAUAACGGAAAGCGAUUGGAUGAAGAAAACGACAAGUAUAAGUUAUUUAUAAAUAAUGGCGUAGUUGUUACCGUUAAUACUGUUGGAAUACUCGGUGGUUAAAAUACAGUAGCACACGGUAUUGCACCAAUUAUUGAUUCUUACGUAAGAAGGCACUACUCAAUAAUUAUUACAGUAAUUAUUGUUCAAUAUUUUAUUUUAUUGAUUCAAUAAUUGCUACGUUGAUAUUUUAUAUUAUUGUUGUUUCAAUAAUUAUCACUACACGGUAUUUUCCAUUAUCAGAUCAAUAAUUCAUAUUAUUUGAAUAAUAUUAUUAGAUAGCAUUAUUGGCAAUGUUUAAAAAGUUCUGUCUAAGGAGAGGUUUGGUCACCUAAUUGCACGCUAGUAAGGAGAAAUCCUUAUUGGAAAGCCCCCUCUUUCCUGGGAACGGCCUGGUUAUCGAUAUUUUGAUUCUGUAAUAUUAUUUGUGAAUAAUUAAUUAUUGAUUUAUAUGAUAAGGAAAAUAUUCAUUUUAUGUGGAUAUAGAUGGAGAAAAUUUUUAAUGUGACAAUUGUUAAAAAUUGAUAUUUUAUCUUUUCUGAUAAAAUAAUUCAUUUAAAUAUAUUAUUAUAUUAUAAUAAUAUAAUAAUGGUGAUAUUUUNNNNNNNNNNNNNNNNNNNNNNNNNNNNNNNNNNNNNNNNNNNNNNNNNNNNNNNNNNNNNNNNNNNNNNNNNNNNNNNNNNNNNNNNNNNNNNNNNNNNUUUUGUUACAAAAAUUGUUUAAAAUAUGUUAAACAUGUUUGUGGGCUCAUUUCUUGACUGAAAUUUGAUUAUAGCCUGUAAAUCGUCCGUUUGUGGAUUUCAGUCAACUUCUGCUUGGAAUUUGGAAAAACUUAAAAUUACAAAGUUGUAAAGAAUUGAAUUUUCUAUAGAAUGGACAUAAGAUUUGAAUUUUUCUGAUAAAAGGGCUAUUUAUUAUGAAUUAUUGAAGUUCCGGAAUAAUUGAUUUUUGAAGUUUUAAAUAUUUUUUUAAUAAAAACAUUUUUUCCAUUUGGUGGGCCCCACUUGCACAUGUUAAUGGCUGAAAUCAGAUGUCUUUGGUGUGCGUAGGAAUUUAUGAUAAAUAUAUUAAUAUUUUAUUAAUUUUCUACUUUGGUGUUCUAAGCAAUUUCCUAUAAAUAGGGUGCUUAGGUUAGAAUUGAAAAUCACACCAGAAAUAAGUUUUCUCUCUCUUUCUCUCUCUAUAUUAUCGAGCGUAUUCUUGUGAGUAUUUUGAUACUUUGAGUGUUGCUAUACGGUGCAAGUUUCCUUCAGCACAAUAUCUAGUAUUCCAAUCAGAAGCACUCUCUUUUCGAGGUAAGGGAUAUUAUUUUUAAAAAAAAAUGAUAUUAUUUCUUUCAAUAUUAUUAUGCCAGAAUAUUGGUAAGAUUUUUCUUGUGAAAUUCUUGUCUUUUAGUGUCGGCGUUACUAUUCACGUAUACGGCACUAUUCACGUAUACGACACUAUUCACGAAUACGGCACUAUUUAUAGAAAAAUUAAAUUUUCAUUUUUUUGUCCAAGAUAUCUAUUAUGGAUACUAGCUUUGAUUGUAUCCAUGUUUUGAGCAUUCUUGAAUUUUACUCCACUAUGAUUAUUUAUGAAGUAUUUUUGAACUUGGAUUGUUUAAAGUACGAAUCCUUAAUAUUUGUUCUUUUGUUUCACUGGAUUCGUUUUCUUUAAAAUAUUUUUCAUCAUCNNNNNNNNNNNNNNNNNNNNNNNNNNNNNNNNNNNNNNNNNNNNNNNNNNNNNNNNNNNNNNNNNNNNNNNNNNNNNNNNNNNNNNNNNNNNNNNNNNNNNNNNNNNNNNNNNNNNNNNNNNNNNNNNNNNNNNNNNNNNNNNNNNNNNNNNNNNNNNNNNNNNNNNNNNNNNNNNNNNNNNNNNNNNNNNNNNNNNNNNNNNNNNNNNNNNNNNNNNNNNNNNNNNNNNNNNNNNNNNNNNNNNNNNNNNNNNNNNNNNNNNUAGUUAUUUCUGUACCAUGUAUUUGGCGACUCAGAGUGGGUGUUGUAUACCUAUUUUGGGGGCAUCACAGUUGGUAUCAGAGCUUAGGGAUAUGAUCUCUGGCAGAGAUCGGGGAAUAGAACUAGGAGGGGAGAGAUGAGUAAAUCCUUCACUAGUGUGUCCUACCUAAGCUUAUUUGUUGGUUAGUCAGUAUAUAGGAUAUUAUGUGAUAUGUUGAUUUCUUUAAUUAACCCUUGUUUUAUGGCAGUAUUUGAGAAUGGCGACUGAGAAUGUUAACAGUGGAGUAAAUGAGACCGUGGAGACACCUUUAGUCACUAAUGAGGAGAACGUGCAGCAGGCCGGUAAUGUUCCUCCUGUAAACAACACCACUGAGCAGACGAUGAACGACAGGAUGUUUAGAAGCUUUUUGCAGUUCAUACAAAAUCAGACGAGGGAGACUCGUGUACAAAAUACAGGUGGAAAUGAUAACAACACACGAUUUGUCACAGCCAAGCAGUUCAAAGAGUUGGGACCACCAGAAUUCUGGGGAAAGUCGGAUCCGAUUAAGGCAGAAACGUGGGUCAAGCAAAUUACCAAGAUAUUCAAUGUCUUGGGAUGCACGGAGGAACAGAAGGUUUCAUUCGCCACCUUUAUGUUUCGUAAUGAGGCAGAUUACUGGUGGGAAUCUGUGAAGCGUAUCCAUCCGGCCGCACUCAGCAUGUCUUGGGAGACGUUUCAGAAACUAUUCAAUGACAAGUACUUUCCUGAAAGUAUUCUUCAUAUGAAGGAAGUGAAGUUUAUUAGACUGGAACAAAAUAACAGGACGGUGUCCCAGUACGAAGCGAAGUUUGCAGAGUUAUCCAGGUUUGCACCUCAUUUGGUGGAGAAUGAGGAACGUAUGACGCAGAUUUUUUUGAGAGGUUUGAAACCCGGCAUACGUCAAUAUCUCAUUUCUCAUAAAUUUUCUCUCUAUUCAGAUGUUGUCAACAGGGCUCAAUUAUUAGAGCAAGAUAACGAGUACGUUCAACCUAGGGACCACAAUAAGGAUCAUACCGGUGACAGCAGUCCUCAGAACAACGAUAACUAGCGGAGAAAGAAAAAUACGGACAAAAGAGGUAAUCACUCUGGUGGUAAUCAUGGCCAUAAAAAUAGAAGAAGCGAGUCGGGGGGAGAUUUUAAAAAGAGGAGAUUCAACAAUGACAAUGCAAAGACGUCAGCACCAGCAGCAACUGGUUCUAAGGGAGGAGAACGACCACCGGUCGUAUGCUAUAAAUGUGGAAAACAGGAACAUAUCAGCCCAAACUGCCCAUAACAGUUCAAGGUAUGUUAUAAUUGUGGAAAGGAAUGACAUAUCGCUCGAGAUUGUACUGUAGCAAAACCAAGUCCAGCGGGGAAGGUGACUCAAAAGGCUGUCCCAGAAAAGUCAAAUCAACGGUUCCUGGAAGAGCGUUUGUCGUGACUGGUCAAAAUGCGAGGAACCCAAACGAGGUGAUCACGGGUAAGCUAAUCAUAAAUUCUUGCGAAGUUUAUACCUUACUAGAUACCGGUGAUACCCAUUCAUUUAUCUCUCCUGCUUGUGCUCAACGUUUAAACUUAACUCCGGAGAAAUUAGACUUUGACUUAUCUGUGGAGACUCCGUUAGGAGAGACUUUCAUUACAUCCACUGUUUAUAAAUCUUGUUUGAUCCAAGUCGACACCAUCACAUUACCUGUUGAUCUUAUCUCUUUAAAGAUACUUGCUUUUGAUGUGAUUUUAGGGAUUGAUUGGUUAACUACUCAUCAUGCCAAAAUUAAUUGUUUUCAUAAGGUUGUUAGUUUUCAUAUUCUUAACCAACCUGUUGUACGAAUUCAAGCAACUAAACCACUAAAAUUAAUCACUGUCAUAUCAAGUCAUAAAGCUAUUCGUUUAUUGAAAAACGGAUGUCAAGCUUUCUUAGCCCAUGUUAUGGAUUUGAAUAAAGACACGCCAGAUUUGAAUAAUAUUCCUAUUGUUAGUAAAUUUCCUGGCGUAUUUCCUGAAGAACUUCCCAGUCUACCCCCAAAACGUGAAGUUGAAUUCUUUAUUGAUCUUGAACCUGGUACAAAGCCCAUUUCUAAAACCCCAUAUCGAAUGGCUCCUAUUGAACUUCGGGAGUUAAAGGUCCAACUACAGGAGUUGUUGGACUUCGGUUUCAUUCGUCCUAGUACAUCUCCUUGGGGUGCUCCUGUUUUAUUUGUAAAGAAGAAAGACAGAAGUAUGCAACUUUGUAUUGACUAUGGAGAAUUGGACCAUGUCACCAUCAAGAAUAGGUAUCCGCUACCUCGCAUUGAUGACCUGUUUAACCAGUUGCAAGGAGCACAAUUCUUUUCAAAGAUCGAUCUUCGUUCUGGAUAUCAUCAGCUGAAGAUUAGAACUGACGAUAUUCCAAAGACUGCCUUCAGAACUCGGUACUGGCAUUAUGAAUUCUUGGUCAUGUCUUUUGGAUUGACUAAUGCUCCUACGGCUUUUAUGGAUAUGAUGAACAGAGUAUUCAAGGAAUAUUUGGAUCAAUUUGUUGUGGUCUUUAUUGAUGAUAUCCUUAUAUAUUCCAAAAACUGUGCAGAUCAUGAGCACCAUUUGAAGCUGGUACUCCAAAGGCUUCGUGAAAACAAGUUGUAUGCCAAGUUGAAGAAAUAUGAGUUCUGGCUUGAGGAAGUAGCAUUCCUUGGGCACGUGGUGUCAAAACAUGGAGUAUCUGUCGACCUGGCGAAGAUUGAAGCAAUACAAAGUUGGGAGCAACCGAAGACAGUGACCAAAGUGCGUAGCUUUCUGGGUUUAGCUGGUUAUUAUCGGAGAUUCGUGGAAGGGUUUUCUCGAAUUUCUACUCCGUUAACUCAAUUGACUCAGAAGGAUACAAACUUCGUAUGGAGCGAGGAAUGCGAGAAGAGUUUUUAAGAGCUCAAGAGGAGACUCAUUUCGGCACCUGUUCUGACAAUACCAUCUGGAUCGGCUGGAUUUGUUAUUUACAGCGAUGCUUCAGGCAAAGGGUUAGGAUGUGUUCUCAUGCAGCAUGGGAAAGUCAUAGCCUAUGCCUCACGAGAACUUAAAGAAUAUGAGAGGAAUUAUCCUACUCAUGAUCUAGAGUUGGCAGCAGUCUUUUUCGCACUAAAGAUCUGGAGGCACUAUUUAUAUGGAGAGAAAGUGGAGAUAUAUUCAGACCAUAAAAGCCUCAAAUAUUUCUUCACCCAAAAGGAACUCAACAUGCGGCAACGACGUUGGCUCGAGCUGUUGAAAGAUUACGACCACACUAUUCAAUACCAUCCUGGAAAAGUGAACAUAGUAGCUGACGCGUUGAGUAGAAGAUCAUAUGCGGGAACGAGUGCGAUGUUAUUAACACAAAGGCCUAUUUUGUGUGAUUUACAAAAUAUGAAGAUAAAAUUCAAGACUCCGGGGACCCAUGCAAUGAUGUCAAGUAUACGUAUAGAACCAACUUUAAUCGAUAAAGUUAAAGUUGAUCAAGCCACAGACCCGGAGUUGAUGCGUAUGAAAAAGAAAGUGCAAGAAGGUGCUAUUCAAGAAGCAAGAAUCGAUGAAGAAGGAAUACUUCGAGUCCACUCCAGACUUUGUGUUCCUAACGAUUCUGAUUUGAAGAACAAGAUCAUGAUGGAGGCACACAAUACACUGUUUGCAAUCCAUCCUGGAAGUACCAAAAUGUUUCAUGAUCUUCGACAUACAUUUUGGUGGAACAAUAUGAAGAGAGAGAUCGCGAAGUUUAUCUCGAGGUGUUUAACUUGUCAACGUGUAAAGGCGAAGCAUCAAGUGCCAAAGGGUCCAUUGCAACCACUUGAGAUUCCGAAAUGGAAGUGGGAACACAUUUCCAUGGAUUUCGUUAUGGGUCUUCCCACGGUUUCUCGAGGCAUAAAAGUUAUUUGGGUUAUUGUUGAUAGAUUAACCAAGUCUGCUCAUUUCUUGCCGAUACGGGAGACUUAUUCCCUUGAACGUCUUUCUCAUAUGUAUGUAAAUGAGAUUGUGAGAUUGCAUGGCAUGCCAGUAUCCAUAGUUUCGGAUCGUGACCCAAGAUUCACUUCACAAUUUUGGGUUAGCUUGUAAAAAUCUAUGGGCACGGAUUUGUGAUUCAGUUCGGCAUACCAUCCUCAAACGGACGGAUAAUCAGAGAGGACUAUUUAAACUCUUGAAGAUCUAUUAAGACUCUGUGUCCUAGACUUCAAAGGGAGUUGGGAUAAGUAUUUACCAUUGGUGGAAUUCUCCUACAACAACAGUUAUCAGGCAAGUAUAGGUGUGGCCCCAUUUGAAGCAUUGUAUGGACGAAAGGGUCGCUCUCCAGUAUGUUGGGAUGAAGUGGGUGAAGCAACAUUGUUCGAACCAGAGUUGGUACGUAUGACUACAGAAAAGAUCUAAAUGAUUCGACAACGUAUACAAACGGCACAGGAUCGACAAAAGAGUUAUGCGGAUCUUCAUCGAAAGGACGUGAAAUUUAGUAUUGGGGAUCAUGUAUUGUUGCGUGUUGCUCCAUGGAAGGGAGUUACAAGAUUUGGGAAGAGAGGAAAGCUCAAUCUACGAUUUAUUGAUCCAUUUUAGAUUCUUGACCGAGUAGAAAAUGUGGCCUAUAGACUCGCGUUACCUCCAAGUAUGUCUCGUGUUUAUAAUGUUUUUCACAUAUCUGUGCUUCGUAAAUAUUUGAAAGACCCGAACCACGUUAUUGAGUUAGAACCAGACGAGAUAGCCGAAGACUUAACGUACGAAGAGGUACCUGUCAAGAUCUUGGAUAGGAAGGAGCAUGUCCUACGCACAAAGGUCAUACCACAAGUCAAAGUUUUGUGGAGGAACCAUGCUAUUGAGGAAAUGACCUGGGAGUUGGAAACGGAAAUGAAAGCGAGGUAUCCUCACCUUUUCGAAACACCAGGUACGUACGUCAAUUUCGAGGACGAAAUUUCAUAAGGAGGGGAGGUUGUAAGACCCCAACUUAUUAUAAAUGAAAUUGAAUUUCCUCUAUUUAUUAUUUUGAAAUAGUAAGGGUUGAUUUGAUUAAUGUGGUUAGUUAUGGGUAAAAUGCGUAAAUAUUUCAAAUAAACAAGUGGUUAUAAAAUAUUCAUUGUUGUCGGGGAAUAUUCUUGCUGUUGGGGAAUAUUCGUACGACGGCACAGCCUUGUGUGGGUCCCAUAGCGGAAAGCGAUUGGAUAAAGAAAACGACAAGUAUAAGUUGUUUAUAAAUAACGGCGUAGUUUUUACCGUUAAUACUGUUGGAAUACCUAGUGGUUAAAACACAGUAGCACAUGAUAUUAUACCAAUUAUUGAUUCUUACGUAAGAAGGCACUACUCAAUAAUUGUUACAGUAAUUACUGUUCAAUAUUUUAUUUUAUUGAUUCAAUAAUUGCUACAUUGAUAUUUUAUAUUAUUAUUAUUUCAAUAAUUAUCACUACACGGUAUUUUCCAUUAUCAGAUCAAUAAUGCAUAUUAUUUGAAUAAUAUUAUUAGAUAGCAUUAUUGGCAAUGUCUAGAAAGUUCUGUCUAAGGAGAGGUUUGGUCACCUAAUUGCGCGNNNNNNNNNNNNNNNNNNNNNNNNNNNNNNNNNNNNNNNNNNNNNNNNNNNNNNNNNNNNNNNNNNNNNNNNNNNNNNNNNNNNNNNNNNNNNNNNNNNNNNNNNNNNNNNNNNNNNNNNNNNNNNNNNNNNNNNNNNNNNNNNNNNNNNNNNNNNNNNNNNNNNNNNNNNNNNNNNNNNNNNNNNNNNNNNNNNNNNNNNNNNNNNNNNNNNNNNNNNNNNNNNNNNNNNNNNNNNNNNNNNNNNNNNNNNNNNNNNNNNNNNNNNNNNNNNNNNNNNNNNNNNNNNNNNNNNNNNNNNNNNNNNNNNNNNNNNNNNNNNNNNNNNNNNNNNNNNNNNNNNNNNNNNNNNNNNNNNNNNNNNNNNNNNNNNNNNNNNNNNNNNNNNNNNNNNNNNNNNNNNNNNNNNNNNNNNNNNNNNNNNNNNNNNNNNNNNNNNNNNNNNNNNNNNNNNNNNNNNNNNNNNNNNNNNNNNNNNNNNNNNNNNNNNNNNNNNNNNNNNNNNNNNNNNNNNNNNNNNNNNNNNNNNNNNNNNNNNNNNNNNNNNNNNNNNNNNNNNNNNNNNNNNNNNNNNNNNNNNNUUGUGGUAUAACAUGAGAUGUUAUAUUAUUGUUUUGAUUUAAUAAUUUAGAUGGCAUAUUAAAUUAUUAAAUAAGUUAUUACAGAAAUUAUAAUUUUGUGAUAUUUGCAAAAAGGCUAUAUUUAAUUAAAAUAUAGUAUGUGGUUAAUUUAAUGGGUUAAUGUUGGAUAUGAAAAUAAUAUGUGAUUAUAAUUUAUAAACUAAGGUGUUUAUUAAAAUAAAUUAAAAAUGAUUUAAAUUGGUUUUUGUCAAACAAGGCUUAAGUAUUUUAAUUCUUUAAAAUUUAUAUGGGUUGCCAAACAAGCCUUAUGGCUUUUGAUAUUUCUAAUUUUUGAAAUUUAAAUUUAAUAAUAUAAAUAAAAUAAAAUAAUUAAUAUAAUAUAUACGUUAUUGGUUGUAACUGAUGAGGCUUGUUAUGGCCAUAUCAGUUUUAUAUCUUUGUUAUUACACACACUAAUUGGAUAUUAGUCUAGCUUUUGUUUUCACGCAUUCUAUUUUCUAAGCUUGAGAGUUCAGAGAAUUGAGAGUUAAGAGAAAUUGAGAGAAAGCUUAGGAUUUUCAAGCGAUUCCAGUGGGUUAGCAAGAGUUACACGCUAAUUGAAAGGUAUGUUCAUAACUGUUAUAAUGUAUAUGUGUAUAAGUAUUUCACGGUAAGAAUUUUCUUGUAUUCUGUAAAAUCAAUUGUUGAAUUAUGGACAUAUAUAGUUGAUAAUUGUGAUAAUACAUGUUUGUAAUGCUGGAGUAAUGUUCAAACAAGGAAAUUGCAUGCUAAAUUGUUCGACAGUAGGAAAAAUAUGAUGUCAGUGUUUAUGUNNNNNNNNNNNNNNNNNNNNNNNNNNNNNNNNNNNNNNNNNNNNNNNNNNNNNNNNNNNNNNNNNNNNNNNNNNNNNNNNNNNNNNNNNNNNNNNNNNNNAUGGAAUGGACAUAAGAUUCGAAUUUUUCUGAUAAAAUGGCUAUUUAUUAUGAAUUAUUGAAGUUCCGGAAUAAUUGAUUUUUGAAGUUUUAAAUAUUUUUUUUAAUAAAAAUGUUUUUUCCAUUUGGUGGGCCCCACUUGCACAUGUUAAUGGCUGAAAUAAGAUGUCUUUGGUGUGCGUAGAAAUUUAUAAUAAAUAUAUUAAUAUUUUAUUAAAUUUUCUGCUUUGGUGUUCUAAGCAAUUUCCUAUAAAUAGGGUGCUUAGGUUAGAAUUAAAAAUCACACCAGAAACAAGUUUUCUCUCUCUUUCUCUCUCUAUAUUAUCGAACGUAUUCUUGUGAGUAUUUUGAUACUUUGAGUGUUGCUGUACGGUGCAAGUUCCUUUCAGCACUAUAUCCAGUAUUCCAGUCAGAAGUACUGUCUUUUCGAGGUAAGAGAUAUUAUUAUUUUUUUAAAAUGAUAUUAUUUCUUUCAAUAUCAUUAUGCCGGAAUAUUGGUGUAACGAUCCAAAAUUUUAAAGUGUAAUUUUAAAUAUUUAUUUAAAUAUAUAAAUAUUUAUUUGAGGUGUUUAUUGUUAAAUAAAUAAUUAUUGAUGUGAUGGUCGUUAAUAAAUAUUUGUAAAUCUAAAUUUAUUAGAUAAAUUUCUAAUUAAAUUAAUUUAUAAUUUAGAGAAUUGUGGUAUAACAUGAGAUGUUAUAUUAUUGUUUUGAUUUAAUAAUUUAGAUGGCAUAUUAAAUUAUUAAAUAAGUUAUUACAGAAAUUAUAAUUUUGUGAUAUUUGCAAAAAGGCUAUAUUUAAUUAAAAUAUAGUAUGUGGUUAAUUUAAUGGGUUAAUGUUGGAUAUGAAAAUAAUAUGUGAUUAUAAUUUAUAAACUAAGGUGUUUAUUAAAAUAAAUUAAAAAUGAUUUAAAUUGGUUUUUGUCAAACAAGGCUUAAGUAUUUUAAUUCUUUAAAAUUUAUAUGGGUUGCCAAACAAGCCUUAUGGCUUUUGAUAUUUCUAAUUUUUGAAAUUUAAAUUUAAUAAUAUAAAUAAAAUAAAAUAAUUAAUAUAAUAUAUAUGUUAUUGGUUGUAACUGAUGAGGCUUGUUAUGGCCAUAUCAGUUUUAUAUCUUUGUUAUUACGCACACUAAUUGGAUAUUAAUCUAGCUUUUGUUUUCACGCAUUCUAUUUUCCAAGCUUGAGAGUUCAGAGAAUUGAGAGUUGAGAGAAAUUGAGAGAAAGCUUAGGAUUUUCAAGCGAUUCCAGUGGGUUAGCAAGAGUUACACGCUAAUUGAAAGGUAUGUUCAUAACUGUGAUAAUGUAUAUGUGUAUAUGUAUUUCACGGCAAGAAUUUUCUUGUAUUCUGUAAAAUCAAUUGUUGAAUUAUGGACAUAUAUAGUUGAUAAUUGUGAUUAUACAUGUUUGUAAUGCUGGAGUAAUGUUCAAACAAGGAAAUUGCAUGCUAAAUUGUUCGACAGUAGGAAAAAUAUGAUGUCAGUGUUUAUGUUCUUCAUAUAGUCUGAGUAAGUAUCAAUUUUAUUGGCCAAUUCGUAUGGGAAAUUAUAAAUUGAAGUUUAUAUAUGUUAGUUCAUUGAGAUACGAACAUAAUGUAAUUUGAAUGAGAUGAUUUGAGCAUGUAAUGAAAUCACAGUGUUAAUUUUUGGAUGAAUAUCAAAAAUAUUGAGUUUUAUAUGAAAAACAUGAAAUUUGAGAAAUUACAGUAGUAUAAUUGCUGUUAAGUUGUUCUAUAUUGAUAUAUAAGUGAGGAAACAAGUUGUAAUGGUGUUGUAUCAUUUGUAUGUGUUAAUUUCACUGUUUGAUGAGUGAAAUUCGUGUUAGUUGGCUUAUGAAAAGUGUCGUGGCUCUGUUCUGCAUAUCUGGGUUCUGCAAGUCGCGCGGGCGCGCAGCCCUUAGGCGCGGGCGCGCAGCUGUCUCGUGGGCGCGCGGCUUCCCAAUAUAAAACUCGCGCGGCCGCGCGAGUGGCCAUUUUCAGACACUGAAGUCUGUUUAUUCUGCAGACUUUGGUGGUUCGUUGUAGCUUAGCUUAAGGUUAUGGAAUGUGAGAAUCAUGUAACAACAAGGUGAAAUAGAGUCAUGUUAUGUGGAUUAUGAAUUCAAAAUUUUAAAAGUGAUUAGUAAAUCGAGAAUGCGUUAUGUGAUAAUGUGGUAUACAUAAUGAACGUUAGACAAGUAUUGCGAAGUAAAACACUUAGAGUUUCUGUAAUGUAAAUGGUAAUGAUCAUGUUAUGGUAUGUUAGCAUAUCUAAUAGGUAUUGUGGUUCUAAAAUUAUGUGUAGGUGAUCGUGAGUUUAAUUUUAUAGCUUACGCUCAAGGCAAGUUUUCUAACUCUACAUUUACGUUGAGCAAGUUUCUAAACCCUAUCUAUUUACAUUGAGCAAGUUUUCUAACUCUACUCUUUCGUUGAGUUAGUUCUAUUAUUACAUUGUGUAACUUUAUUCUUUUGAUUGAGCGAGUUUUGUUAUCUUAUCUGUUAUUGAAUAAGUCAAUUGUUCCUAAAAUUCAUUCGAGCAAACUUUAACUCUAAUGUUAUUUGAAAUUCUCAUUUGAUUGAUUCAUUCUAACUUGUUUAUAGUUAAGCAAGUUUCUUAAGUUCUAUUAUUGUAUAAUGAACGUAGUUUUUGAACUCUCGUCUCUAUUAUUGAACUGUUUUAAUUCUUUGCAUGAGUUAAUACCAUGUUGGGCAAGUUUUUAGUUUCCAGCUUGCUAUCAGUUAAUGUACGUUCAGUAAUUUCAUUUCUAAUGUUAUAAGACUCUAACCUUAGCUUAUUUACUGUUCAAGCAAAGGUUAACCAUUUUAUUCAUUUUGUUGAAUACUUAUGCUCUAUAGUUAUUUCAAGCAUGAGUUUAAUAUGUAUAAUCAGUUCAUUUAUGAUUCUCAAUUGUUCUAUGUUAUGUUGUUAUUAAACAUCUGUUGUGAUUAUCAAACACUAUUGAUUCAACUAGUCCUCUAGUUGAUGUUCGUUAAACUUCAAAUUACCCUUGAAAGCUUAUCCAAACCAAACUUUCUUUGGUGCGGACUUGUACUCUAAAUACUGAGAUGAACAACCCUAUUAUUAUUAGGGGAUAAUUUACGCUUAGCGUUAAAAUGUUUGUGCACAAUACAUUGUACGAAGGGCUGAUCCCCCUAAGUACGAGGAGUCCUUAUAGUCUUAUGACUGUUAAAGUUGGAGUUGAAAGAUUACUCACAACUGUGGACAUAGUUCAUGGUCUUAUGACCCUCAGUUAGAUAUAUUCCAUAUUUUGGAUUCCAGUUUUUGAUUGUCAUCGUUAGAGUACUAUUCAGUUUUGAUGAGCCUUUUGUUGGCAGUUAUUAUUAUUAUUAUUAUUCUCUUGUUGAUUCAGUGUUAUAUCCAGUGGGCAAUUGUUUUGCUCACUCUUGCAUAUUUAUAUACUCAUUGCAGCUAAAGUUGAGAAGGUGGAUGAGCCUUAAACUAACCAAGGAAAGGAAAAAUUGUACAAGUGAUGCUGAUUUGUACUUUUAUUUAUUUUGAUGAUCUUAGACUUUAUUUUGAAUGAUGUUAUGUAAUAAUUUAAUUCCGCAUUUGAAUGACGUUUAAAGGUCAGACAACCUAGGAUGUUUUGAGUUUAAUUAUGUAACCCUAUUUAAAGGGAGGAUUUUAUGGUUUAAAUAUUAUUUUAUUUGGGUAGCUAGUAUGAAUGUUUGAAUAGUGAGCACCAAAUCUUGUGGGAAUGAAGUACCUAGAUUUGGGGGUGUCACAAUUGGUAAGAUUUUUCUUGUGAAAUUAUUUUCUUUUAGUGUCGGGGUUACUAUUCACGUAUACGGCACUAUUCACAGAAAAAUUAAAUUUUUGUUUUUUUGUCCAAGAUAUCUAUUAUGGAUACUAGCUUUGAUUGUAUCCAUGUUUUGAUCAUUCUUGAAUUUUACUCCACUAUGAUUAUUUAUGAAGUAUUUUUGAACUUGGAUUGUUUAAAGUACGAAUCCUUAAUAUUUGUUCUUUUGUUUCACUGGAUUCGUUUUCUUUAAAAUAUUUUUCAUCAUCUUUAGUCUUAAAUGAUGAUAUUACUGAAUAUUUUUGGCCUGUAGUACAAAGAUUGUUGAUUUUCUUAUGAAUAUCUUUGGCCCGUAGUGCAAAGAUGUAUAGGUGUUGAGAUGAACAUGACCAACUGUUAAAUAUCUUUGGCCUGUACUGCAAAGAUGAAUAUUUGAUUCAAGAUGUAUAUUGAUUGAUGUUACAGGGAUAAAAUAUUGAUGAUAAACUUUUAAAUUCAUAGAAGAAAGUAGAUUUCAUUCUCUACGUAACUCUUCUAAUGAAUUAUUAUUUUCGCUGCGAAUAUUGAUUUAAAACUUGUUGUUUAUUGUAUUCUAUCAGAUUUUUCCUAUUGAGGACUAACAAUAAUUUGUUCUAUGUUAUCUUAGUCAUAAUAUUCUUUACUGGGCUAGUUGAGCUCACCCUUUUCCUUUUUGUUUCAUUUUUCUUCUCAGGAGGCGAGAAUGUAGCGAGUACUAGUCGGGGUAUGGAAUGAAGGUUCUAGAAAGUCGUUUUAGUAGUCCUCACUAUUUUGUAAAAUAGUGUAUCAAUAAUUAUAAUGAGGACUUAUUUGAGUGUUGAUAUUGUCUAGAAGACAAUAUUUGUUUUUAAACUCACAGUUUAUGUGUUGUCGUAUUUUGCACGACAAUUGUAUUAAUAAAGUUGUAGUUGUUUUUGUACCAUGUAUUUGGCGACUCAGAGUGGGUGUUGUAUACCUAUUUUGGGGGCGUCACACCCUGGCUCUACAAUAAGGUGGCGGUGUUGCAGAUUAAUCUUUUGGAUCAAUGUUGGAAAAGGCUAUUAUAGCCGAAGGAGGAAGUGAGGCCAUGAGUCUCUACAAUAAGGAAAAGAAGAAUAAGCUUAAAAUCGAGGGAGCUGUCAAGGUUAAGGGAAGUAGUGGAAGUGGAAAAAAGAAGUGGAACAAUUCUGAAAAUACUAAAAAUAGUCAGGGAGGCAUAAGGAAGCAAAUUGAGCAGUGUGGUAAUUGUGGGAAGAAUCAGUCGGGAGAAUAUCUGAAAGAAAAAUUUGCAUGUUUUAAAUGCGGGCAUGAGGGACAAAUCUCUCCAAACUGCCCCAAUCCAAGGAAGAAUAGUGGGUGUUUCAUUUGUGGAUCAACAGAUCAUACAGUGAUGGAUUGUCCGAAAAGAAGUGCUAUUGGGGGGAAUGUUAAUUCCUGAAAUGAUUAGAAAAUUCUUAAGGGUUACGCUUCAUCUAAUAUCAUUUCACUUGAAUAUUUUAUUCACCUGAGCUUUCUUAUUAAAUUUAAAUAUAAUCAUGUUGAGGUACUAUUCAUGUCAGGAUACUAUUCAUAUCAGAGUACUAUUCACGCCAGAGUACUAUUCACAAUAGAGUACUAUUCACGACGGAGUUAGCCUUUUCUGUCCAAAUUAUCUUUGAAAUAGGAAUCUUAAAUAUCAUUCUUGAAUUUGAAUCCACGUUUUGGUCAUCGUGUUGACAAUUUGGACUUUCUUAAACUCUAGAUAAAUUAAAAAUCUCUCAUGUUUAUUCUUGGUCUUAUUAUUUCUAUUCACUUUAUAUCAUUGUCAUCAUCGUCAAACUUAAAUUGUGGUGAAAAGUUAUCUUUGGCCCGUAGUGCAAAGAUGACCUAUUGAUUAGUAUGAUUAUGACCAGAAAUUGUGUAUUGGUAUAAUCAUGACCUUUAAUGUUACAGGCAAAGACUUUUGGUGAAAGUUCUCUUUGGCCCUAGUGCAAAGAUGGAUUGUUGUUGGCAUGAUCAUGACCACGAGUGAUACAAAUGAAUAUCUUUGGCCCGUAGUGCAAAGAUAAACUGUUAAUUUGCAUAAUUAUGAACAUGAGCUGUUAAUUGGUAUUACAGGGAUAAAAUAUUAAUGAUGGAUUUUUAAAUCUAAAAAGAUAAUAGGUAUCAUACUCUACUUGACUCUUCUAAUGGAUUGCUUGUUCCACUGCAGUUGUUGAUCUAAAACUUGUUGUUUAUUAUAUUUUAUCUGCUUUAUCUUUGUUGAAGACUAAAGAUAAUUUAUUCUUCAUUAUCAUAGUCAUGAUAUUCUUUACUGGGCUAGUUGAGCUCACCCUUUUCCUUUUUGUUCCAUUGUUCUUCUCAGAAAAUGAGAGUGUAGCUGGGACUAGUCGGGGAGUGGAGUAAUGUUUCGAGAUAGUUACUAUAGAAGUCUUCACUAUGUUGUAAAAUAGUGUGACAAUAAUUUUAAUGAGGAAUUUAUUUGAGUGUGGAUAUUGUCGUACUAUAUACGAUACAAAUUUGUAUUGAAACUCACAGUAUAUGUGUUGUCGUAUUUUGCAUGACUGUUUAAUAGUUAUAAAUAAGAAAUUUUGUAUUUGAAUUAUGUAGUAUGUAUUUUGACGACUCAAAAUGGGUUGUGUGGACCUAUUUUGGGGGCGUCACACUUAAAGCCUAUUACACUGAAAAUCCUCUGUUCUCAAUACACAACUUUUCUAUACACCAGUGUAGUUCAUCAAAUUUACCACAUGUUAUGAGUUCAGGAACUUGCCACAACAAUAUGAGUUUAGGAACUUGUCCUAUUAAUAUGUAGUCCAAGAACAGAUCAGGGACUGUCCAUACGCUUAAGGGUUUAAAAACAUAUCAUACAAUUAUGAGUCAUAAACUUACCGUAAGCAUGAGUUUUAGGAACUUGCACCUAAUCUUAUAUUCUCUAACUAUCAAAUAUACAUAUGAGAAAAAAAAUCACCUUCUCGCCAUAUGUAUAUCGAUAGCGCAACACCGAAAUUUCAAUGAUUAGCAAUGUGAUAAACUAAGUAGUCAUUAAACCAAGCACAAAACCCCUUCCCAUACAAAGGCUUGAACUUGGCUAUCAUAUGAGUCCUCAAUUGAAAUCCCACUUAAUUCUAAUCUUUUCUUCCUCUUUGCUUAAUACAAACUUUUUCUUUAAUUCGUAUCUCAUCAUUUAUAACUUCUUAUGAGUUUUAUCUUUGUACUACCGUAUAGUACCUUUUUCGUACAGUACAAUUCUUAAUAAUAAUAUUAUUAAUCACUUAAUAAUAAUACUAUACUAUAGUACCGUAUAGUAUCUUCUGUCUCAUAUUACUAAUCACUUAAUAAUAUUUUAUUCACUUUUUAAUAUUAUUAACCAUUUAAUAAUAUUUUAUUCACUUUCUAAUAUUAUUAACCACUUAAUAAUAUCUUAGUCACUUACAAAUAUUAUUAAUCAUUUAAUAAUGUUCUAAUCACACUUUAAUAUUAUUAAUCAUUUAAUAAUAUUCAAAUCAUUUACUAAUAUUAUUAAUUAUUUAAUAAUAUUUUAAUCAUCUUCUAAUAUUAUUAAUCAUUUAAUAAUAUUUUAAUCAUCCACAAAUAUUAUUAAUCCUUUAAUAAUAUUUUAAUUACUUAUUAAUAUUAUUAAUCAUUUAAUAAUAUUUUAUUUAUUUAAUAAUAUUUUAAUUAUUUUCUAAUAUUAUUAAUCAUUUAAUAAUAUUUUAAUCAUUUACUAAUAUUAUUAACCACUUCAUAAUAUUUUAAUCAUUCAUGAAUAUUAUUAAUCUUUUAAUAAUAUUUUAAUCUAAUAUUACUAAUCAUUUAAUAAUAUUUUAAUCUAAUAUUAAUAAUCAUCUAAUAAUAUUUUAAUAAAUUAUUAUUAAAAUUUUAAUCUAACAUUAUUAAUCAUUUAAUAAUAUUUUAAUCAUUUAUUAAACUUAUAAACAAUUUAAUUUAAUUAUUUAUCUUUUACUAAUUAAUUUAUUUAACAAACAUAACAUAUCAUGUUUAUAUCAUUUUAUUAAAAAUGACCAAAUUACCCUCAUAUAUUCUUAAUAUAUCAUAUUAUUGAUCAUUAGUCAAUAAAAUCACAUUAGCACAAUUUAUAACUUAAUUUUUUCAAUUAUCCUUAACUUAAUCAUAGGCACGAAAAAAACCAAAUUAUCUUCUUAUUUUUUUAUCUUAUGGGAAAACUUAAUAUGUUAUAUUUUAGACACAAAAUAAUUUUCUUAUAAUUUUCCAAGCUCAUUUCCUAUUUUUAAAUAGGUUAAAUCAGUCCCAAAUAGCAUUUGUUAAACAUUAUCCUUUUGUCCAAAAAUUCUGAAAUUUAUACGGUAGAUUAAUCUCAUCAAAAACUGAUCCCUAUAAAAAGUUCACAUUUUUCUGGGCUGUACAUUCCAAAUUAUGGCAGUUUACUUUUAAAAUUGCAUUUUCUUACACAAACUAGAUCUCCACUUCUGGACAUCGAAAAAUUCCCAUUUUUGGAAAGGACCUAGCUAACUUGACAUAAUAUCAUACCCCAAAAGUCCAAAAUUUUUAGAGCAUCAAAAGUGACCAAAACAACCUUCCCAAAAACUAGACAAUAUGUUGAUAAGGUUUUCCAAAUUUUUCUACCCAGCAGACUAUUUUGCAAAAAAUCAUACCACGAUUUGCUCGUUUAAUAUUUUUGAGUGCUUCCACUUGGGUUUAUCAGAUAUCUCAUGGAUUUAACUCACUUCUUUGACGGAUCUCAAAAAUAAAUUGUAGAUUUUAAAUUGUAAAGGUUCAAAGUAGGCUGAAAAUUAAGGUUUUUGAAGCUAAAACCAGUUUUUCAUUUUCUUCCUUGUUCAAGCUUAACAACACAUAAAAUUGUAAUAUCUAAGUAUGAAACUUCUUAAAACACUACUCUAGAGUUUAUGAUCAUAAGUUCAUCAUUUUAUCAAAAACAAUUGUAAGAAACUCACACAAAACAAAAUAGGUUUUGAAUUUUAGGGAUUUUAUACCUUGAUCUAUGGGCUACCCUUCUUCUCCUUCCAAAGUAGAUUAUGAAUCUUGGUGGAAUGAGCUAAAUCUUCUCCUUCUCCUCUCACUACCCAUGGCAGCCUUGGUCUCUCUCUCUCUCUCUCUCACUCUCUCUCGCUCUCUCUUUCUCUUUAUUUUUGUUCUUACUAACUUUUGAAAAAU
rnacentral:lncRNA from 1 species